GACGAACGCUGGCGGCGUGCUUAACACAUGCAAGUCGAACGGAAAGGCCCGGCUUUUGUGGGGUGCUCGAGUGGCGAACGGGUGAGUAGCACGUGAGUAACCUACCCUUGACUUUGGGAUAACUUCAGGAAACUGGGGCUAAUACCGGAUAGGAUCUCCUGCUGCAUGGUGGGGGUUGGAAAGUUUCGGCGGUUGGGGAUGGACUCGCGGCUUAUCAGCUUGUUGGUUGGGUAGUGGAUUACCAAGGCUUUGACGGGUAGCCGGCCUGCGCGGGUGACCUGCCACAUUGGGACUGAGAUACGGCCCAGACUCCUCCGGGAGGCAGCAGUGGGGAAUAUUGCACAAUGGGAGGAAGCCUGAUGCAGCAACGCCGCGUGCGGGAUGACGGCCUUCGGGUUGUAAACCGCUUUCGCCUGUGACGAAGCGUGAGUGACGGUAAUGGGUAAAGAAGCACCGGCUAACUACGUG
rnacentral:rRNA from 1 species